rnacentral:lncRNA from 1 species
AACACGACAAUGUCUCUGGAAUAGCUGAAAUAAUGAUUGUUUGCAACUGGCCUGGAUUUUGACACCCUAAACCAUUAAAAAAAAUAACUGAAGUUCAUAUAUCAAGCGUAAUUAUAAUAGAAGAUAGGUAGUGAAUAUUACAUUUUCGUCUGUUAAGACCAUCUCAAGAUUCGAGAGGCCAUUGUCGGGAUUGAUUAACAUCCACGUAUGAAGCACCUUCACAUGGACCCUCCAUGCAGAUUUGAAAGGCUUAAGAUCACUCAAGUUGCUGAUUUUGAUCAUGGAAUCCAUAAGGGAAGAUAACGAUAGACAGUUUGCAGGUUUAUUAAUGGUUGUUGCGGUGUGAUGAUUGUGAUAUUUAUAUAUUUGUGAUUGAUGGUAAAUUCUUAAGAUAGCGAUCCAUAUAAAAUCGUAUAUAAAUAGGAAUAAUUUAGGGAUAUACGUAUUCGAGAUAUACUAAGUUACAAAUCUUAUCCUUAUUAUUGUUUUCAAUGAUUAAAGUUGUUCAAAUUAGAUAAGAUAUGACAAUAUGCGAUUUUAGGCGAGUGUGUGCUUUUGAUUUGUUUAAUAAUAUAUUGUUAAAACCUGCAAAAAACGAUUUGCAAGUAGGAUAUGCCGAAUAUGUAUGAGAAGUUGUUUCGACACAUUUGUGAAAACAAAAAUAUUCAAACAAUUGUAGUCUGGUUAAACUAUGAACAUGUCAUUUUGCCGUUGGAAACUGAUGAUUGAUGUGAAACGAUUAUUUUAUAUGUGUAUACGUUGAUUAAACUAUAAGAAAAGAGGGUUUACUGCACUUUAUAGCAGAUAAUACAUGUUGUUUAAGUUUUGACAUCGAACACAGCAAUGCCACGAUAAAAUCUAUAAAUUUAAAAUAUUACUCAGGGCAAUUAUAUGGAUAAGAACUGAAUCUAAACUAAACAGCGUGAUUCUUUUUUAAAAAAUACGUUUUCGUUAAAAAAAUAAACCUUUAUAUUAAAAGCAUAGAUCAAAAAUAAUUCAGUGGCAAAGAAUGGUAAAUACUUCAAACUCCAAGGGUACCUCAAAAAAGGCUCCAUUUCUGGCGCUUUUCCUGGAUCAUAACAUUGUCAUGUUUAGGCUGAUACAUAUCAAGAGAGUUACCAUCAACAUGAAACCUAAAUACAAAAACAGCAUAAUUAGCAUAUUGUAAUCCAUUAGAAAUAAUAUAAUAUUAUAAUAAGAUGCACUUGCAUAUUUUUAAGUGCUUGCGCCUCCUUGAUAUCUGGGUUUAGUAACACCAAAGAAGAAUCAAAAGCAUUGGAGACUUGCAACUCUCCUGAUACAGAAAUCAAACAGAUGUUUAAAAUCUAACUUAAAAGUUUUUGAUCAUUAAACAAAUAUUUACAUAUUAAUGGUACAAUACCCUUGUAGUUUUCGAGUUUAGCAUAUCUGAUUAAACAAAUAUCUCCAUUGUUUGGUUGUUUAUUUUCUUGGGUCAUUAUUUCAGCUAUUUUCCCAGCAAUGCAGCAUUGAAGUCGGUUGUCGCUUAGAGAGUAAAUAAAUAAUGCAGAUUAGAAUUAAAAACUUACUUCAAGUUAUGUUUAAAAAAUACUUACUUGAUGUCUCUUAGAGUAAACUCCAUUUUGGUCACUUCUUUUCUUGCACACUGAACAAUAUCAAGACCACCAAAGUCUAAGACUUCACCAAUCACAUCUGUAACAUCAAAAGUUAGUUAUAUGAAGGUCGGAUUAUAGGUAAUAAACUAAUACAUCGCAUAAAAAUUAGAAGUUACCAAUAAAAAAACUUGUGUCAUGUGAACCAUUUUUAAUGUUAUCAAAUUGCUUUAGCUCGAGAAACAUGUUGUCACAGUGGAGAUUAGAAUCAGUUAUUAAAGUCUGACUCAUGAAUUCAAUCUUGUAAACAUGGUUGGUGUGUCUGUAAAGACCACAUACUGGACUUAAAGAAAAGUUAGUAAUAACUUUCCACUCUCCAACACGACAAUGUCUCUGGAAUAGCUGAAAUAAUGAUUGUUUGCAACUGGCCUGGAUUUUGACACCCUAAACCAUUAAAAAAAAUAACUGAAGUUCAUAUAUCAAGCGUAAUUAUAAUAGAAGAUAGGUAGUGAAUAUUACAUUUUCGUCUGUUAAGACCAUCUCAAGAUUCGAGAGGCCAUUGUCGGGAUUGAUUAACAUCCACGUAUGAAGCACCUUCACAUGGACCCUCCAUGCAGAUUUGAAAGGCUUAAGAUCACUCAAGUUGCUGAUUUUGAUCAUGGAAUCCAUAAGGGAAGAUAACGAUAGACAGUUUGCAGGUUUAUUAAUGGUUGUUGCGGUGUGAUGAUUGUGAUAUUUAUAUAUUUGUGAUUGAUGGUAAAUUCUUAAGAUAGCGAUCCAUAUAAAAUCGUAUAUAAAUAGGAAUAAUUUAGGGAUAUACGUAUUCGAGAUAUACUAAGUUACAAAUCUUAUCCUUAUUAUUGUUUCCAAUGAUUAAAGUUGUUCAAAUUAGAUAAGAUAUGACAAUAUGCGAUUUUAGGCGAGUGUGUGCUUUUGAUUUGUUUAAUAAUAUAUUGUUAAAACCUGCAAAAAACGAUUUGCAAGUAGGAUAUGCCGAAUAUGUAUGAGAAGUUGUUUCGACACAUUUGUGAAAACAAAAAUAUUCAAACAAUUGUAGUCUGGUUAAACUAUGAACAUGUCAUUUUGUCGUUGGAAACUGAUGAUUGAUGUGAAACGAUUAUUUUAUAUGUGUAUACGUUGAUUAAACUAUAAGAAAAGAGGGUUUACUGCACUUUAUAGCAGAUGAUAUAUGUUGUUUAAGUUUUGACAUCGAACACAGCAAUGCCACGAUAAAAUCUAUAAAUUUAAAAUAUUACUCAGGGCAAUUAUAUGGAUAAGAACUGAAUCUAAACUAAACAGCGUGAUUCUUUUUAAAAAAAUACGUUUUCGUUAAAAAAAUUAACCUUUAUAUUAAAAGCAUAGAUCAAAAAUAAUUCAGUGGCAAAGAAUGGUAAAUACUUCAAACUCCAAGGGUACCUCAAAAAAGGCUCCAUUUCUGGCGCUUUUCCUGGAUCAUAACAUUGUCAUGUUUAGGCUGAUACAUAUCAAGAGAGUUACCAUCAACAUGAAACCUAAAUACAAAAACAGCAUAAUUAGCAUAUUGUAAUCCAUUAGAAAUAAUAUAAUAUUAUAAUAAGAUGCACUUGCAUAUUUUUAAGUGGUUGCGCCUCCUUGAUAUCUGGGUUUAGUAACACCAAAGAAGAAUCAAAAGCAUUGGAGACUUGCAACUCUCCUGAUACAGAAAUCAAACAGAUGUUUAAAAUCUAACUUAAAAGUUUUUGAUCAUUAAACAAAUAUUUACAUAUUAAUGGUACAAUACCCUUGUAGUUUUCGAGUUUAGCAUAUCUGAUUAAACAAAUAUCUCCAUUGUUUGGUUGUUUAUUUUCUUGGGUCAUUAUUUCAGCUAUUUUCCCAGCAAUGCAGCAUUGAAGUCGGUUGUCGCUUAGAGAGUAAAUAAAUAAUGCAUAUUAGAAUUAAAAACUUACUUCAAGUUAUGUUUAAAAAAUACUUACUUGAUGUCUCUUAGAGUAAACUCCAUUUUGGUCACUUCUUUUCUUGCACACUGAACAAUAUCAAGACCACCAAAGUCUAAGACUUCACCAAUCACAUCUGUAACAUCAAAAGUUAGUUAUAUGAAGGUCGGACUAUAGGUAAUAAACUAAUACAUCGCAUAAAAAUUAGAAGUUACCAAUAAGAAAACUUGUGUCAUGUGAACCAUUUUUAAUGUUAUCAAAUUGCUUUAGCUCGAGAAACAUGUUGUCACAGUGGAGAUUAGAAUCAGUUAUUAAAGUCUGACUCAUGAAUUCAAUCUUGUAAACAUGGUUGGUGUGUCUGUAAAGACCACAUACUGGACUUAAAGAAAAGUUAGUAAUAACUUUCCACUCUCCAACACGACAAUGUCUCUGGAAUAGCUGAAAUAAUAAUUGUUUGCAACUGGCCUGGAUUUUGACACCCUAAACCAUUAAAAAAAAUAACUGAAGUUCAUAUAUCAAGCGUAAUUAUAAUAGAAGAUAGGUAGUGAAUAUUACAUUUUCGUCUGUUAAGACCAUCUCAAGAUUCGAGAGGCCAUUGUCGGGAUUGAUUAACAUCCACGUAUGAAGCACCUUCACAUGGACCCUCCAUGCAGAUUUGAAAGGCUUAAGAUCACUCAAGUUGCUGAUUUUGAUCAUGGAAUCCAUAAGGGAAGAUAACGAUAGACAGUUUGCAGGUUUAUUAAUGGUUGUUGCGGUGUGAUGAUUGUGAUAUUUAUAUAUUUGUGAUUGAUGGUAAAUUCUUAAGAUAGCGAUCCAUAUAAAAUCGUAUAUAAAUAGGAAUAAUUUAGGGAUAUACGUAUUCGAGAUAUACUAAGUUAC